rnacentral:tRNA from 1 species
GAGAAAGAUCGCAAGGAUUGCUAACCCAUGUCUCCGUACCUAAAACUACGGUUUUCUCA